GUGCUUGCUUCGGCAGCACAUCUACUAAAAUUGGAAGGAUACGGGAAGGUUAGCACGCCUCUGCGCAAGGCUGGCACUCGAACUCUGAAAAAGAGAAGCUGUCUCG